rnacentral:rRNA from 1 species
GACGAACGCUGGCGGCGUGCCUAAUACAUGCAAGUCGAACGAGAGCGACCGGUGCUUGCCCUGGUCAAUCUAGUGGCGAACGGGUGAGUAACACGUGGGUAACCUGCCCAUCAGAGGGGGAUAACAUCCGGAAACGGAUGCUAAAACCGCAUAGUCUUCGAGCCGCAUGGCUUGAAGAGGAAAAGAGGCGCAAGCUUCUGCUGAUGGAUGGACCCGCGGUGCAUUAGCUAGUUGGUGAGGUAACGGCUCACCAAGGCCGUGAUGCAUAGCCGACCUGAGAGGGUGAUCGGCCACAUUGGGACUGAGACACGGCCCAAACUCCUACGGGAGGCAGCAGUAGGGAAUCUUCCGCAAUGGACGCAAGUCUGACGGAGCAACGCCGCGUGAGUGAAGAAGGUUUUCGGAUCGUAAAACUCUGUUGUUAGAGAAGAACAAGUGCUAGAGUAACUGUUAGCGCCUUGACGGUAUCUAACCAGAAAGCCACGGCUAACUACGUG